rnacentral:tRNA from 1 species
GCUGUUAUAGCUCAGGCGGUAGAGCGCAUCCUUGGUAAGGAUGAGGUCGGCGGUUCAAUUCCGCCUAACAGCUCCA